AGCGAACGCUGGCGGCAGGCCUAACACAUGCAAGUCGAACGAACCUUUCGGGGUUAGUGGCGGCCGGGUGAGUCACACGUGGGAACGUGCCUUUAGGUUCGGAAUAACUCAGGGAAACUUGUGCUAAUACCGAAUGUGCCCUUCGGGGGAAAGAUUUAUCGCCUUUAGAGCGGCCCGCGUCUGAUUAGCUAGUUGGUUGAGGUAAUGGCUCACCAAGGCGACGAUCAGUAGCUGGUCUGAGAGGAUGAUCAGCCACAUUGGGUCUGAGACACGGCCCAAACUCCUACGGGAGGCAGGAGUGGGGAAUCUUGCGCAAUGGGCGAAAGCCUGACGCAGCCAUGCCGCGUGAAUGAUGAAGGUCUGAGGAUUGUAAAAUUCUUUCACCGGGGACGAUAAUGACGGUACCCGGAGAAGAAGCCCCGGCUAACUUCGUG
rnacentral:rRNA from 1 species